CAGCUGCCGACGGUGCGCCCAGCGGCUACUGCCGGCGACUAGGAGUCUAGGACCGAAUUGAUUUUGUCUUAAAACAAAGGGAUGGGACAAGUGAAAAUGAAGAUUCUUUGGCAGCAACAAAUGAUUUUUUGCCUUUACUUCAAUUGGAAUAGCAGCACUGGGAACAAAAUGCUUUGAUCAAUGACUGAUUUCUAAUGAUCUGGUGUGUUUGAGAACAUUUUUUUUCAAGUUUCUUUAAGCCGGCCCGCCCAAGAAAACUUUUCAAGCUCCGCCACUGCUGGGGGCGGGAUUGAUCUCCCAUAGCAACGCACGGGCAUUUAACUAGUAUUUACAGUUGACGAGAGGUACUACGGCUAAUGCCUUCAUCAUUAUGACCUAGGAGAGGUGUUGUUUUGUUACAUAGAACUCUCCUGAAUUAUACAAGUACUUGCUACUAGCUCAACCUAUAAACACAAUUUAUAUCACCUUGUAUUUGUGAUGACAGUGUGCCAUGUGUACCAAUAUGUUGCCUGCUCAAAGUGUUGAGCGCUAGAAGAUGCAAGGUCACGCUGAACUCCACAACUAUGAACUCUCUCAUCUCAAUUCCUUGGCGAUCAGGUGUGCAGUUGUAAUUGGCAUCCCCAACACCAUCGACCGCGAUAGUAAAGCGACGAUCAUCUUGGACAUCAUCACAAAGACUGAGCUCCACGGUCCAACUCUCAUGUCUUCGCCUGUUUAUGCAUGUGCUUAUCCUCUCUAGUGUAUUCGACGAACCAUUACCCGUUGGUGAGAGUCAUACUGUCUACACGUUCACUCUGGCCUCCCUCUUCCAUGACGAUGACUCAACUUCCUGUGAUAUGUCUGCGUUGUUGCUUCUUUCACGCACCCCGACACAAUGGUUUCCACGUUCAUCAGCCUUGAAGAGUGGUUCAUAGAUCUUACUACCAACACACUUUUCGAGAUAGCGUUCGACAUGUCUCCAUAGAGUUUGACCAAUAUUGAUGCAUCGUAUAGCGAUGCCAUGAACUUGGCUGCAUUGCGGACAACAACCUCUUCACGGAUAUUGUGCUAAAAGAGGAUCGUGGCAUCUUCCACGGCCUAAGCUCGUUGAUCGGCAUCGGUGGAGGCCAUGGCAUAUCCAUUGUGGCCAUUUCUAAGGAGUUCUUGCGAAUCACCUGUAACAUGGUGGACCUAGAUCAACUGAUUUAGAAAGGCACCUAGCUGUUGCAUGGUGGAGUCAAUUGUUGUUGACAUGUUUGAGUUUAUUGCAGUUGGAAUAAACUCAAACAUGUCACCAAGGAUGUACUUCACCAUGCCACAACUAGGUAACUUUCUGAUGACUUGUUCUAGGUUCAACAUGUUGCGGUGAUUUGCGGGAACUCCUGAACAAUGGCCAUAGUGGCUAUGACAUGGCCCCCGCCGAUGUUGAUCAGCGAGCUGAGCCCGUGGAAGAUGCCACGAGCCCCUUUCAGCACAAUAUCUAUGGCGAAGUUGUUGUUCGCCAAUGCAUGCAUGGUUCAUGGCAUUGUUAUACAAUGUAUCAAUCUUGGUCAAACUCCAUGGGGACAUGCCGUGCGCUAUCUCGAAAGGCGUGUUGGCAAUGGGAUCUCUGAACCACUCUUCUAGGUUGAAGAAUGUGGAAACCGUUGUGUCGGAGCACGUGAAGAGUAGCAACGGCGCGGACAUGUCACACGAAGUUGAGUCACCAUCGUGGACGGGGAAUCCAGAGUGAGCGUGUAGACGGUAUAACUCUCAUCAACAGGCGAUGAUUCGUAGAAAAAAUCGGAGACUGUACGCAUAAGCCGACGGAGAUACAUGAUCUUGGCCAUGUGGAGCGUGGUCUCGGUGAUGAUGUUCGAGAUAGCUGCCGCAAUAACCUGGAUACCAUGAUGAGCGACCUGAAGAACCCUUUAAUUUGUACGAAGCUGAAGAAAUCCUUGACCUUGUUGAUUAUUUCCGAAUCAGGAGGAUCAGCUCCGGUGGGUGAACCAGGGGUUGUGCUGGUUAUGGCAAUGGUUACACAUUGCCGGAGGAACAUCAACCCUGAUGCAGUGUGUGCAUUAGAGGCUGUGCUGGUUGUUAUGAAUCGCCGGAGAAAAAACUGUUCCGUUGCUGCAGGUUUGGGUUUCUUGUUAAUAUGUUCCAUAUCUCUAGCCUACAUGUUUUCUUUCUGUUGUGGCACUUCUGCAGCUAGUGCGGCAGGGCUUGUCUGGUUGUGGUGAUGCGUGCCUAGAUCAGAAGAACUACUAUAUGUGUCACUUCCACAAGCUCGACUUCCUCAGUCCACAGGACCUCAUUGUGGGUGCAGGUCUUUUGAUUUCAAGAUCUUCUGUACCUGCAUCUUCAACUGGCUAAGCAAGUAAGCAAGGCAAUUGAGGGUGCCCGUUACUUGCGAGAUUGGUCCUUCGAUCAUUUGGCUUCACACGUUAUCAAUAGGGCGUUAUAUGGAAUCAACUUGCACUAUCAUGGGGCCUUUAUAUAUUAUUCUGAAGAAAAAUAUGGAAAAGGUAGAACAUCUGAUUGGUGAAGCACAAGAGAUCAUCUCGUUAAAAAGAACCCUACAAGAAACUAUUGCCCAACCACACCAGUAUUCUUGUUAUGGCAUUCUAGGUAAUGCUAACCGGAGCCAUGAUGUUGCUGCCAACUCCCGAGCUGCAGUCACUACUGCAACGCCACCAUCAGCGGUUAUUGGAUGAGAUAAAGAUUGUGAUAAGAUCGUAGAAAUGCUUCAUGAGAGGGAAGAAGAUGGUCAACCUGACGCCAAUUGUGCUCAAUGUUACUUUGUAACUGGCAUUCAUGGCGUCACUGGUUCUAGAAAUUCAACCCAUAUACAACUUGUUUGUUCCCGUGAGAAAACGGAUAGGCAAGAAAAGAAGGACGGCCAUUUUGACCUUGUUAUGUGGAUUCAUGUUUCUCAGGAUUUUGGUGUGGAGAUCAUUUUCAAGGAGAUUUUUGAGGCAGCCACGGUGACUUUUUGCCCUUACUUCAAUACUCUUGACUCCUUGCAAAGUAAUUUGGAGAAGGAAUUGCAUGGAAACGGUUCCUCUUGGUACAACAUGAUGGUUGGUACAUAAAUAGAGUUAUAGAUAAGACGAUGUAGUGUGGUAGUACAUAAAUAGAGUUGGAAAAUGAUGUGUGGUACAUAAAUUUGCAUUGUAAAACUCAAUGAAGACUCAGUUUGUACCAAGAUUACCAGUUUUUAAUCUUUUAA